rnacentral:rRNA from 1 species
UACGGAGGGUGCAAGCGUUAUCCGGAUUCACUGGGUUUAAAGGGUGCGUAGGCGGGUUGAUAAGUCCGUGGUGAAAUCUCCGAGCUUAACUCGGAAACUGCCGUGGAUACUAUCGGUCUUGAAUGUCGUGGAGGUAAGCGGAAUAUGUCAUGUAGCGGUGAAAUGCUUAGAUAUGACAUAGAACACCAAUUGCGUAGGCAGCUUACUACACGAUUAUUGACGCUGAGGCACGAAAGCGUGGGGAUCAAACAGG